GACGAAAAGCAGUGAACUUAUUGCAAAAAACAACUAUUCGUUAAUCGACUAGUCGUCAUCGACAUAAUUAUCGAUAAGUCUCUCUAUCGAAUAAAACAAACAUAUUCAUCGGAAUUUUUUGUCAGCUCUAUCAAAUGAGAAUGUUUACAUUUUUAAAAAUCGAACGUAACUCUAAUCUCAAACUAGUACAUAUAUUUUAAAUAUAACGACAAGCCAAAUUUUGUGUAGCAAAAUGGAGACUCAUGAGUACAUCGUUGGGGCAAAACCUGUUUUGUUAUUUUCAUUUUAUCAUUGAGACUUCGCGCCAUUAGACAGGACACAAGAAAUCCUUUGACCUAUUAUCUUCACAAUGGCAAUGCCAGAAAUAGCCGUGCAAGCUAACGAUGUUUCAACUAUAUGACAACCAUCAUAAACUUGAAUUUUUAAGAUGAUUUGGAUCAAAAAAGAGUUUUAGCUUGACCGAAUUGGCUUGAAUCUAGGACAUACCUUAAGGCCCACCACCUUUAUCUAGUAGUAGAACUGUUCAUACUUUGUAAUUAAUUACUUAGCAUAAAUAGUCACAUUCAUCUCUCUUCCCUCUCGAUUUUAUUGUUGAUUUCAUUCUAUCUCUGUCUUUUCUGUGAUGCUGAAUAGUUUGACAAGUUGCGCUGAAGCCAAAUGGUUAAGUUGUUUAUUUCUGAUGUGUUUUAUGAUGAUGUUUAUUUCUGUAAUGUUUACUGUAAUGUAGGUAACUGUGCGACAGGUGCUGGCAUAUUUCUCAUAUAGAAAUGUUCUCUGCUUUAUAAUCUGCAACAGACGAAAAACCCUUUGGCCUUAUCCUGGGUGCCUUAUAAGAGUCAUUGUUUGACAUUCCGUUUCGUUUGAGGUCGAAAUUCAAUGGCUGACAUGCAAUCUACACAUUGGAUAUAUUCAUAGAAAGUGAUCAGGAGUAAUAAGUGUAUCGGACGUCCUCGGAUGGUAUAGAAAGCCAAGGAGCCGGGCUAAUUUGGCAAUGCCGAAACGAUCCUGCGUAGAGUUAUCCUUGAUGCCAGCAGGAUACUUUUUUGAAGGCCGACGACUUUUUGAACAGCCCUCGUACCAAAAGUAUAACUCUUCCCUUUCUUUUGGGUUGAAACUUGGUAUUAAGCUACUUAUUACCUAGGUGAAAUGAAGCAUGAAAAUCACGAAAAACAGGUGAAGGACUUGAAGUAUCUUUAUGCAAUAAUAAAAGGUGACAG